CUAUAUUUCUAAUGAUUUUUCUAUAUAAUAUGUCUAAUAUAACUAAUUAAGGGUAAAAGUGUCAUUUACGGUUUACAACUUGGUAAAUCAUUAACUAUACUUAAAAACUUUGUUCUUUCUAGAGAGAGAGUGUUGCUACGUCGGCGGAUACGGAAUUCAAUAGGCUUGACGUGUUGGGAACAUUUGAAUUUUUAAAGGAGGAAGCCGCAACGGUAACAUAAUGACCGUUAGCAGCGGAGGCUGUCCCAGGAACCUGACGCACGGGUCCAGUGAUUGCGGGGCUGACUCGAGCCACUCACGUGCCCACCAGCUUCGCGGGUGCACCACUAACCGACCACAUCACUUUUCUGGAAUGCUAACUUUAAGGCUUUGUUUGGAAUCUAGAGAAAGUUGGAAAGGAUGAAAAAAAUAUAAUUUUAUUCUUUUGCUUUUGGGAUUGGUUUCUAGUUUUUGGAUGAAAAACUAAGUAAAAUUCAUUUACUUUUUAUUCAUUUGAAUUUUUUUUUGUAAUUCCUUCCAAAAUCAAACAAUUUUUUUUCCCCCUUACAAAACUGAAUAAAGAGAAAUAAGUAAUUUUUACAAGUUUCAUAUAAAGAGAUUGUUUAAUAACUCAAUUCAGCACUUAAAACUAAAUGUAUUAAGUGAAACUGAAUUAAGUUAGUUUGAUAUCAAUAUUUUGCAUCAUUUAAUAUUUUAAGUGCUUCUUAAAAUGUAGGUUAAAAUUUUUUAAAUUUAAAGUAGCAAGAUAGCUAUUUGAUUCUGAUUGAAUUUAUAAAUGUGUGUGCAUAGAUAUUGACGCGCACAAAUAUAACUCCACCAGCCACCAUACCACCUCCUCCUCUUUCGCCACUACCACCACCACCAUCACUGCAAUUGCCAACACCAACGCCAACGCCAAUGCCGAUACCAGCACCAACACCAACACCACUAACACUAGCGGCAGAGGCAAUAUUGGGCAAGUAGGGUCAAUUGACCCAUUAAAAAAAAAUUAUACUAUCAUCUAUAAUAUAAUUUAUCAUAAAUAUAAUUUUGACUCCACAAAAAAUUAAUAAUUUAUUCUAAAUUCUAUAUGUUUUACCCUUGUAUCUUCAGUUUUCAUAUAAUUUUAUCAAUUUGCCUAAACUAAACAUAAAUUCUAGUCCCGCCCUUGACUAACACAACCGUAACCACCACCAUCUCUCCACCACCACUAUGUUCCUCCCACAAUUGUCACCACAACGACCAGCCUUCUACCUCCACCACCAUUCUACCAUUGCCACCACAACUGUUACUACUAUGAGAACCACCAUCUUUCCACCACCGUCGUUGCCAUCCUCCCUCCACUAUCCAUACCCCAACCAUCUACCACCAUUCGAAUGCCACCACUACUACUUUUGUCGUCACUGUAUCCUCCACCUCCUCUACCACCACCACCCUUUCACCUACUACCACCACCACCGCCUCCGCCAUGCUUUACCUCUUCCACUAUUCUACCACUACACUACCAUCACCCAUCUACCACCAUCCCUUCAUCUAUUAAUACCACAACUACUACUACUCCCAUCGCUGCCGUUGCCAACCUCUACCUCUUCUACCACCACACUACCAUCACCCAUCUACCAUAUCUUCAACCAUCAACUAUUACAACCACCAUCUAUCUGUACUACCAUUGCUCUACUACCGAUACCACAACCACCACCGCGAUCAUUCUCCUCCACCUCAAUUACCCAUUCUACCACCCCUAUCACCUCCAUACUUCCACCACAUCACUCCUUCAACCACCACAACCAUCAUCAAUCUCUUUGCUAUUAACACCAAUCAACACUAUGAUUACAUUAGCAUUACUACCGUCGUCGCCAUAUCACUACCACCAGGCAACCAUAACUUAUUUAUAAAAUGAAAGAGAAAAUUACAAAAAAAAAGAAAAAAGAUUUAGCUUGUUGAAUAUUACAAUGAGUUUCAAUUCAUCAUUUAUAUUUUUACCAAAUAACUUUUAACUUAAAACAUUAAGUAUCCUUAUUUUUUACUUUUUACUUUUUAGCAUUUAGUUUUAUCAAACAAUACCAUAGCUUAAGAAUUUUAUAUAAAAAAAUUAAAAAAUUAAAAAGCCAAUGAAUCUAACAAUUUAAAUGAAUCUUUUUUCUUUACAUGGUUUUUUCCUUUACAUAUUAUUCCCUAAAUUCUUGAGCAAAAUACAUCCUAUAUAAGUUAUAUGCAAGUGGACAUUAGCAUCAGGGAUGCCUAAAUAGGGUUCACUGAAUUAAAAAAAAUCAAUCAUAAACAUGAGCUAAAGUGAGAAUAUUAUCCUCGUUUGAAAUUGAUUGUUUUGCGUUGGGAAAUCCGGGAUCGCACCUCCAAAAAUUAAAAAAAAAACUCUUAUUUAAAAAUAAUAUUAAAGUUAUAAGAGUUCAUUCCACUAAAUUAUAUCAUUUGCAUUGCAUAAUUACAUAUACUUUUGCACGUUCAAGUUAGAAUCAUAAAUGCGUCUCUGUUGACUCAACCGUAUAAAUUAACUAAUUAU
rnacentral:lncRNA from 1 species